CACGUAGGGCGCAAGCGUUGUCCGGAAUUAUUGGGCGUAAAGAGCUUGUAGGCGGUUUGUCGCGUCUGCUGUGAAAUUUCGGGGCUCAACCCCGAACUUGCAGUGGGUACGGGCAGACUAGAGGUAGGUAGGGGAGAAUGGAAUUCCCGGUGUAGCGGUGAAAUGCGCAGAUAUCGGGAGGAACACCGGUGGCGAAGGCGGUUCUCUGGGCCUUACCUGACGCUGAGGAGCGAAAGCGUGGGGAGCGAACAGG
rnacentral:rRNA from 1 species